rnacentral:tRNA from 1 species
GCCAGGUUAGCUCAGUUGGUCAGAGCAUGGUGCUAAUGAUGCCAAGUUCACAGGUUCAAUCCCUGCUCACUGCA